AUACGUAGGUGGCAAGCGUUGUCCGGAAUUAUUGGGCGUAAAGAGCAUGUAGGCGGAGAUUUAAGUCUGUUGUGAAAAUGCGGGGCUCAACCCCGUACUUGCGAUGGAAACUGAAUUUCUUGAGUGCAGGAGAGGAAAGGGGAAUUCCCAGUGUAGCGGUGAAAUGCGUAGAUAUUGGGAGGAACACCAGUGGCGAAGGCGCCUUUCUGGACUGUGUCUGACGCUGAGAUGCGAAAGCCAGGGUAGC
rnacentral:rRNA from 1 species